GGGGAAUAUUGCACAAUGGGGGGAACCCUGACGCAGUGACGCCGCGUAUGGGAAGAAGGUUUUCGGAUUGUAAACCAUUUUAGACAGGGAAGAAAAAAGACAGUACCUGUAGAAUAAGCUCCGGCUACCUACGUGCCAGCAGCCGCGGUAAUACGUAGGGAGCAAGCGUUAUCCGGAAUUAUUGGGUGUAAAGGGUGCGUAGACGGGAAAUUAAGUUAGUUGUGAAAUCCCUCGGCUCAACUGAGGAACUGCAACUAAAACUGGUUUUCAUGAGUACUGGAGAGGAAAGUGGAAUUCCUAGUGUAGCGGUGAAAUGCGUAGAUAUUAGGAGGAACACCAGUGGCGAAGGCGACUUUCUGGACAGCAACUGACGUUGAGGCACGAAAGUGUGGGGAGCAAACAGG
rnacentral:rRNA from 1 species